rnacentral:rRNA from 1 species
UACGUAGGGCGCAAGCGUUAUCCGGAAUUAUUGGGCGUAAAGAGCUCGUAGGCGGUUUGUCGCGUCUGCCGUGAAAGUCCGGGGCUCAACUCCGGAUCUGCGGUGGGUACGGGCAGACUAGAGUGAUGUAGGGGGAGACUGGAAUUCCUGGUGUAGCGGUGAAAUGCGCAGAUAUCAGGAGGAACACCGGUGGCGAAGGCGGGUCUCUGGGCCGAUAUCGACGCUGAGGAGCGAAAGCCAGGGGAGCGAACGGG